UACGAAGGGGGGCUAGCGUUGCUCGGAAUCACUGGGCGUAAAGCGCACGUAGGCGGAUUUCUAAGUCAGGGGUGAAAUCCUGGAGCUCAACUCCAGAACUGCCUUUGAUACUGGAGAGCUCGAGUCCGGAAGAGGUGAGUGGAACUCCGAGUGUAGAGGUGAAAUUCGUAGAUAUUCGGAAGAACACCAGUGGCGAAGGCGGCUCACUGGUCCGGUACUGACGCUGAGGUGCGAAAGCGUGGGGAGCAAACAGGG
rnacentral:rRNA from 1 species